rnacentral:tRNA from 1 species
ACCUGGGUGGCUCAGUUGGUUGAGCGUCUGACUUUGGCUCAGGUCAUAAUCUCACAAUUUGUGAGUUCAAGCCCUAUCUCAGCUU